GUCUUCAUCGUUAUCAUCACAGGAUGUUGCACAGGUCGUGCAAGCCGCAGAGGUCCACGCCCGGUUGCAAGAUGCAGCCUCCGCUUGCUGAGUAGAUUCUUCCUCCAGAUUACAAAACUGAGCCAUACAAGGAUAUGGGACGUCCCUGAGGUCACACGGUGGUGGGGCCAGAUUUCAACCUGGAAGUCCUGCUCCGGAACUGAGGCACCUCGCGCUGUCCUCUGAAAUGUCCACUCGCCUCGGUCUGGCCAGCGGCGUGAGCAUCUCUCACAGACAGAGCCAGAUGCGCUCUUUCUGGAAGCAGGAUGCCUCUUCGAGUGGAAGCAGUCCUUGCUUAGGAAAAUACUUCUUGAAAGACAUGGUGUGAACGAUGGAAUGCACUGACAGCCCUGCAUCUGGUCCUGAGCAGCAGCCGUGCCCCGCGGCGGAGCCUCUACUUGGACUCUGGGCUGGGCCAUGUCCAUGAGAGGACAGCAAAUGUUGUGCAAGCAGAGGCCUGAAGGAAGGCUGGCACGUGUCCACUCCCUCUCCGCCGUCCUGCCACCACCAUGAGAACGUGCCUGGGCUGGGCUGCUGGAGGGCCGUGAGAGACACAGGAAAGAGAGUUAGUCAUCCCAGCCAAGGUCAUCCUAGACGAGCCAGCCCCAGGAUGACCCACCAGCCGAUGACCUACACGUGAACAAGCCCAGCCAAGGUCAGUCUAAUCCAGCCAAGAUCAGCAGGACCACCCAGCUAACCCAU
rnacentral:lncRNA from 1 species